rnacentral:rRNA from 1 species
AUUGAACGCUGGCGGCAGGCUUAACACAUGCAAGUCGAGCGGUAGCACAGGGGAGCUUGCUCCCUGGGGGACGAGCGGCGGACGGGUGAGUAAUGUCUGGGAAACUGCCUGAUGGAGGGGGAAAACUACGGGAAACGGUAGCUAAUACCGCAUAACGUCGCAAGACCAAAGAGGGGGACCUUCGGGCCGCUUGCCAUCAGAUGUGCCCAGAUGGGAUUAGCUAGUAGGUGGGGUAAUGGCUCACCUAGGCGACGAUCCCUAGCGGGUCUGAGAGGAUGACCAGCCACACUGGAACUGAGACACGGUCCAGACUCCUACGGGAGGCAGCAGUGGGGAAUCUUGCACAAAGGGCGCAAGCCUGAUGCAGCCAUGCCGCGUGUGUGAAGAAGGCCUUCGGGUUGUAAAGCACUGUCAGCGAGGAGGAAGGUGGUGAGCUUAAUCCGUUCAUCAAUUGACGUUACUCGCAGAAGAAGCACCGGCUAACUCCGUG